GCAUUGUGUAUUGAUGAUCAAAGAAGAUUCUGUGUAAAUAGUUGCCAUCUGAUUGGAAAGGAGGCCAUCAAACAAAGACAACUGCAGCUACUGGGCUAUGAUGUUGUGCAGAUUCCAUUCCACGAGUUUGACAAGCUGCAGAACCGUGAGGAGAUGGUGCAGUAUCUCCACAGGAAGAUCUUUCCACACAGUUACAGACUCACUUGGUGAAGCAACAAAAAAAGUCAGAAUCUCUAAUAUUGGGAAUUAUAUGCAGAUAAUUAUUUGCA